AUGAUGAGCAGGCUCAGGACGAAGGGCGGCGACUUGUAUCCUAGCUUCAUCGGAGUUGAUGUGGAGUACGCCAGCAAAGAUGAACCUCCCCAGAUGGCAGCAGUCAUAAAGUUGUGCAUGGAGGAACUCUGCUUGGUGUACCACAUCGCAGCCGCCACAAAAUGGCCCAAGCGCCUCAAAGAGUUCCUGCAGGAGGAGAAAUUGUACACAUUUGCCGGUUUCAGCAUUGAAGGUGGCAAGCGGAUGCUGAACAAAUCUGGUUUGGAGAUCAACCCCAACAACUUCAUCGACAUGCAACACAAGUGGAAAGUUCCAACCACCAAGAAAUUGUACGAUUCCUUGGCCGAUGUUGCAGCUAGCGUCAUCCACCCAUUCUACAAAGGCAUGAAGAAGAAGAUCGACACGCGGGAAGACCACAAACUGUGGGGGAUCAGCCCACUGCCAUACAAGCUCAUAGGGUAUGCAGGAAUAGAUGCAUACGCCAAGUACAAUUCAUGG
rnacentral:rRNA from 1 species